GGCGGACGGGUGAGUAACGCGUGGGUAACCUGCCCUGUACACACGGAUAACAUACCGAAAGGUAUGCUAAUACGGGAUAAUAUAUGAAAGUCACAUGGCUUUUAUAUCAAAGCUUUUGCGGUACAGGAUGGACCCGCGUCUGAUUAGCUAGUUGGUGAGGUAACGGCCCACCAAGCCUACGAUGCCUACCGGGCGUGCGAGCGCGACCCGGCACACUGGGACUGAGACACUGCCCAGACUCCUACGGGAGGCAGCAGUGGGGAAUAUUGGACAAUGGGCGAAAGCCUGAUCCAGCAAUGCCGCGUGAGUGAUGAAGGUUUUCGGAUCGUAAAGCUCUGUUGCCAGGGAAGAACGCUUAGGAGAGUAACUGCUCUUAAGGUGACGGUACCUGAGAAGAAAGCCCCGGCUAACUACGUGCCAGCAGCCGCGGUAAUACGUAGGGGGCAAGCGUUGUCCGGAAUUAUUGGGCGUAAAGCCCGCGCAGGCGGUCAUUUAAGUUUGGUGUUUAAUUCCAGGGCUCAACCCUGGGUCGCACUGAAAACUGGGUGACUUGAGUACAGAAGAGGAGAGUGGAAUUCCACGUCUAGCGGUGAAAUGCCUAGAUAUGUGGAGGAACACCAGUGGCGAAGGCGACUCUCUGGGCUGUAACUGACGCUGAGGCGCGAAAGCGUGGGUAGCAAACAGGAUUAGAUACCCUGGUAGUCCACGCCGUAAACGAUGAGUGCUAGGUGUUAGGGGUUUCGAUACCCUUGGUGCCGAAGUUAACACAUUAAGCACUCCGCCUGGGGAGUACGGUCGCAG
rnacentral:rRNA from 1 species